rnacentral:rRNA from 1 species
UAGCGAAGGGGGCUAGCGUUGCUUCGGAAUGACUGGGCGUAAAGGGCGCGUAGGCGGUUUGUACAGUCAGAUGUCGAAAUUCCUGGGCUCAACCUGGGGGCUGCAUUUGAUACGGUGCGGACUUGAGUGAGGGAAGAGGGUCGUUGGAAUUCCCAGUGUAGGAGGUGAAAAUUCGUAGAUAUUAGGGAAGAACGACCGGUGGCGAAGGCGGCGACCUGGUCCUUGACUGACGCUGAGGCGCGAAAGCGUGGGGAGCAAACAGG